UACGUAGGGGGCAAGCGAUGUCCGGAUUUACUGGGUGUAAAGGGCGCGUAGGCGGGUUAGCAAGUCAGAGGUGAAAUACUACAGCUUAACUGUAGAACUGCCUUUGAAACUGCUAAUCUUGAGUGCGGAAGAGAGAGACGGAAUUCCAGGUGUAGCGGUGAAAUGCGUAGAUAUCUGGAGGAACACCAGUAGCGAAGGCGGUCUCUGGGUCCGUUACUGACGAUCAGGCGCGAAAGCGGGGGGAGCAAACAGG
rnacentral:rRNA from 1 species